rnacentral:rRNA from 1 species
UACGUAGGUGGCAAGCGUUGUCCGGAAUUAUUGGGCGUAAAGCGCGCGCAGGCGGUCCUUUAAGUCUGAUGUGAAAGCCCACGGCUCAACCGUGGAGGGUCAUUGGAAACUGGGGGACUUGAGUGCAGAAGAGGAGAGUGGAAUUCCACGUGUAGCGGUGAAAUGCGUAGAGAUGUGGAGGAACACCAGUGGCGAAGGCGACUCUCUGGUCCGGUUCUGGACGCUGAGGCGCGAAAGCGUGGGGAGCAAACAGG